rnacentral:rRNA from 1 species
GCGAUCGACGGGCAGGCAGCGGCGGGAAUACUGAGGGUGCAAGCGUUGUCCGGAAUCACGGGGCGUAUAGCGGGCGUAGGUGGCGCGUUAAGUGAGAUGUUAAAUCGUGUGGCUCAACCAUAUCGAUGCAUCUCAUACUGGCGUGCUAGAGGACGGCAGAGGCAAGUGGAAUUGGUAGUGUAGCAGUGAAAUGCGUAGAUAUUACCAGGAACACCAAUGGCGAAGGCAGCUUGCUGGGCCACUCCUGACACUGAGGUACGAAAGCGUGGGGAGCGAACAGGAUUAGAUACCCGAGUAGUC